rnacentral:tRNA from 1 species
GGGGGUAUAGCUCAGUUGGUCAGAGCGCACGGUUCACAUCCGUGAGGUCGAGAGUUCGAGCCUCCCUAUCCCCACCA